CAACGGUCGAGAAGAGACUGAUCCCCGUCUCUGGUGUCUGCUGAUUUAAAUUGAUGGGCUGACGGAAAUAUUGUUGUGCGGAUUUAACGUUACACUUUAAACACGAAAGAGCCUGAACCGCAACAAUGUCACAAGUUGCCUUACAUCGAUUAUAUUAAACCUGGAAAAUAUUGGAGAAGAUCAAUUGAGUUUUCAGGAGCACAUUACUGUGAUAAAUGCUGAACUACGUAAAAGACAACCCGACUACACCAACAUAAAAAAUCGAAUGAGAUGCACUCUUUUUAAAAGAGUCGAUUUAAUGACAAAAUCAACACGAGAGGUCAUGGACAUGUUCCCAUUUCUUCGGGUUCCACAACUUGUGAGUAUUUGUUUUUAGUGUUGUUUCCUUUGAGUUUAGUAUUUCCACUGCUUUUUCAAAAAACAAAUUGUAUGAAUAAAAACAGUCAAAAUUGUUUUAAUGAAUUGUUCUUUCUUUUUUCUGUGUUUUGGUAGCUGCUGCAUGAAGUGAAGAUGCGGUUUGGGAAGGACCUUCAUCUUAAUCUAGAGACUGCUCUUCAAAUUCUGGCCCCAAACAUCUUAAAUGUGGCUAGACAUGGAAGUCAGAGGGAUGUGCUGAACAGUUUACUUCAGCAAAUUGACUCAAAUACAAAAAGUAUGUUCUUUUUUUCCUUAACACUACCAUUAGUUGCUUGGUUUGUUGAACGGUUACUGUAAUAAAUCUAUUUAUACCAUGGUUUGUCUGAAUAUUUAAUUCUGAUUGGCUAAAAGGUGUGCAUUAAAAUAAUUUGAUUCACAGGUAGUUCCAGUCAGUUUAAUUACAAUUAAAGUUUAAUGUGCUGCUUUUCAAUGACCACACAAAACACUUGCACACAGAGAUCGGAGAUUAAAGUAAUGUGAACUGAGACAUUUUGCAUUUCAAUUGUUUUUUUUUUACAACCUCAGUUGCAUUGCUUCACUGCCAUUCAUAAAUCCUCUCCUGUGGUCUCAUGGAGUAGUAAAGUAUCCAUUGUAAGCAUACUUCAGAAUGUUUGUGUAGUGUCUCUUCAAUAAUCAAGCCGCAAGUUUAGUUAAAUCAAAAACAGAUACAUUGUUGCGUUUUAGUUUUUCAGUAUGCUAUCCAAGCUAUUUUAUUAAUGAAUAUUGCAUUGAUCUUGAAAAGAAGUUUCCGUGGUCAUGAUUGUUUGUGACAGUUUGUGAUUGUGUGUGCAACCUAGCCAGUGAAUUGGCCCU